rnacentral:tRNA from 1 species
GGGCCGGUGGCUCAGCCUGGUAAAUUUAAAAAUAAAAAAGCCAAGGAGCAUCCGGCUGAUAACCGGGGGGUCGCGGGUUCAAAUCCCGCCCGGCCCA